GGUUAAGCGACCAAGCGUAUACGGUGGAUGCCUUGGCAGUCAGAGGCGAUGAAGGACGUAGUAACUUGCGAAAAGCGUUGGUGAGCUAGUAACAAGCAUUUGAGCCAGCGAUGUCCGAAUGGGGAAACCCGGCAGCAUAAGCUGUCAUCAAUACGUGAAUACAUAGCGUAUUGAGGCGAACGAGGGGAACUGAAACAUCUAAGUACCCUCAGGAAAAGAAAUCAACCGAGAUUCCCCAAGUAGCGGCGAGCGAACGGGGAUUAGCCCUUAAGUCUUUGGGGUGUUAGUGGAAUGUGUUGGAAAGCACAGCGGCACAGGGUGAUAGCCCCGUACACGUAAACUAACCAGAGAUGAAAUCGAGUAAGGCGGCACACGUGAUAUGUUGUCUGAAUAUGGGGGGACCAUCCUCCAAGGCUAAAUACUCCUGACUGACCGAUAGUGAACCAGUACCGUGAGGGAAAG
rnacentral:rRNA from 1 species